CUAAGGAAUAGACAUUAUUGUGGUCAAAGCAGCAUCCAAAUGCAGAAAUCUGACCCCACGUGUGUGUGUUUGGGUUUUGUUUAUUGUUUUUUUCCAGACUUUUGAAAGUCCUUCAGAAAAGCAAAGGUGAAAGACUUCCGUGGGCUCGAACUAGGAACCAGGACAAAAGCAGUGUACACAGGCUGCAAAUGGCUCUGGGGACUCAGCUUCCUCCAGCAAGCAUCAGGCCUCAGGUAUGGGAAAGCCCCUUGAAAGGAUGACACGUGGUGGCUCUCGGUGACAUCCUGGCCCCGGCUCUCCAGCUCUGGGAGGGCAUUUUCAAGACCCACUUUCCCCUGAUCUGUUCAAACCUGACAUGUUUGCCCAGUUUAUCCUUUCAACGCAUGCGAGAAUAAUAAAUCAUCUCAUCUUAAGGACGACUUCAAUAUCUGU
rnacentral:lncRNA from 1 species